UACGUAGGCAGCGAGCGUUGAUCGGAAUUACUGGGCGUAAAGAGUGUGUAGGCGGUGCUCUAAGUUCGGUGUGAAAUCUCCUGGCUCAACUGGGAGGGUGCGCCGGAAACUGGAGUGCUUGAGCGUGGGAGAGGAAAGCGGAAUUCCUGGUGUAGCGGUGAAAUGCGUAGAUAUCAGGAGGAACACCUGUGGUGUAGACGGCUUUCUGGACCAUAGCUGACGCUGAGACACGAAAGCGUGGGUAGCAAACAGG
rnacentral:rRNA from 1 species